rnacentral:rRNA from 1 species
UGUUUCGGCUAGGGGGCCAUCCCGGCUUACCAACCCGAUGCAAACUGCGAAUACCGGAGAAUGUUAUCACGGGAGACACACGGCGGGUGCUAACGUCCGUCGUGAAGAGGGAAACAACCCAGACCGCCAGCUAAGGUCCCAAAGUCAUGGUUAAGUGGGAAACGAUGUGGGAAGGCCCAGACAGCCAGGAUGUUGGCUUAGAAGCAGCCAUCAUUUAAAGAAAGCGUAAUAGCUCACUGGUCGAGUCGGCCUGCGCGGAAGAUGUAACGGGGCUAAACCAUGCACCGAAGCUGCGGCAGCGACGCUGAUGCGUUGUUGGGUAGGGGAGCGUUCUGUAAGCCUGUGAAGGUGGCCUGUGAGGGUUGCUGGAGGUAUCAGAAGUGCGAAUGCUGACAUAAGUAACGAUAAAGCGGGUGAAAAGCCCGCUCGCCGGAAGACCAAGGGUUCCUGUCCAACGUUAAUCGGGGCAGGGUGAGUCGACCCCUAAGGCGAGGCCGAAAGGCGUAGUCGAUGGGAAACGGGUUAAUAUUCCCGUACUUGGUGUUACUGCGAAGGGGGGACGGAGAAGGCUAUGUUGGCCGGGCGACGGUUGUCCCGGUUUAAGCGUGUAGGCUGGUUUUCCAGGCAAAUCCGGAAAAUCAAGGCUGAGGCGUGAUGACGAGGCACUACGGUGCUGAAGCAACAAAUGCCCUGCUUCCAGGAAAAGCCUCUAAGCAUCAGGUAACAUCAAAUCGUACCCCAAACCGACACAGGUGGUCAGGUAGAGAAUACCAAGGCGCUUGAGAGAACUCGGGUGAAGGAACUAGGCAAAAUGGUGCCGUAACUUCGGGAGAAGGCACGCUGACACGUAGGUGAAGUGAUUUACUCAUGGAGCUGAAGUCAGUCGAAGAUACCAGCUGGCUGCAACUGUUUAUUAAAAACACAGCACUGUGCAAACACGAAAGUGGACGUAUACGGUGUGACGCCUGCCCGGUGCCGGAAGGUUAAUUGAUGGGGUCAGCGCAAGCGAAGCUCCUGAUCGAAGCCCCGGUAAACGGCGGCCGUAACUAUAACGGUCCUAAGGUAGCGAAAUUCCUUGUCGGGUAAGUUCCGACCUGCACGAAUGGCGUAAUGAUGGCCAGGCUGUCUCCACCCGAGACUCAGUGAAAUUGAACUCGCUGUGAAGAUGCAGUGUACCCGCGGCAAGACGGAAAGACCCCGUGAACCUUUACUAUAGCUUGACACUGAACAUUGAGCCUUGAUGUGUAG